rnacentral:rRNA from 1 species
CUCUUGAGAGCGGCGGACGGGUGAGUAAUGCCUAGGAAUCUGCCUGGUAGUGGGGGAUAACGCUCGGAAACGGACGCUAAUACCGCAUACGUCCUACGGGAGAAAGCAGGGGACCUUCGGGCCUUGCGCUAUCAGAUGAGCCUAGGUCGGAUUAGCUAGUUGGUGAGGUAAUGGCUCACCAAGGCGACGAUCCGUAACUGGUCUGAGAGGAUGAUCAGUCACACUGGAACUGAGACACGGUCCAGACUCCUACGGGAGGCAGCAGUGGGGAAUAUUGGACAAUGGGCGAAAGCCUGAUCCAGCCAUGCCGCGUGUGUGAAGAAGGUCUUCGGAUUGUAAAGCACUUUAAGUUGGGAGGAAGGGUUGUAGAUUAAUACUCUGCAAUUUUGACGUUACCGACAGAAUAAGCACCGGCUAACUCUGUGCCAGCAGCCGCGGUAAUACAGAGGGUGCAAGCGUUAAUCGGAAUUACUGGGCGUAAAGCGCGCGUAGGUGGUUCGUUAAGUUGGAUGUGAAAGCCCCGGGCUCAACCUGGGAACUGCAUUCAAAACUGUCGAGCUAGAGUAUGGUAGAGGGUGGUGGAAUUUCCUGUGUAGCGGUGAAAUGCGUAGAUAUAGGAAGGAACACCAGUGGCGAAGGCGACCACCUGG